UACGAGUGCUCCAAGCGUUAUCCGGAAUCAUUGGGCGUAAAGGGUGUGUAGGUGGUCUCGUUAGUCUUCUGUUAAAUUCUUCGGCUCAACCGGGGUAAGGCAGGGGAAACGGCGAGACUUGAGGAUGCGAGAGGUGUAUGGAACUCUAGGUGUAGGGGUGAAAUCCGUUGAUAUCUAGGGGAACACCAAAAGCGAAGGCAGUACACUGGCGCAUUCCUGACACUGAAACACGAAAGCGUGGGUAGCGAACGGG
rnacentral:misc_RNA from 1 species